rnacentral:rRNA from 1 species
CNGCCAUGCNGCGUGUGUGAAGAAGGCCUUCGGGUUGUAAAGCACUUUCAGUCAGGAGGAAAGGGUGUGAGUUAAUACCUCAUAUCUGUGACGUUACUGACAGAAGAAGCACCGGCUAACUCCGUGCCAGCAGCCGCGGUAAUACGGAGGGUGCGAGCGUUAAUCGGAAUUACUGGGCGUAAAGCGUACGCAGGCGGUUUGUUAAGCGAGAUGUGAAAGCCCCGGGCUCAACCUGGGAACUGCAUUUCGAACUGGCAAACUAGAGUGUGAUAGAGGGUGGUAGAAUUUCAGGUGUAGCGGUGAAAUGCGUAGAGAUCUGAAGGAAUACCGAUGGCGAAGGCAGCCACCUGGGUCAACACUGACGCUCAUGUACGAAAGCGUGGGGAGCAAACAGGAUUAGAUACCCUGGUAG